GUCCUAUUCGGUGUCUUCUUUGUAGCCUAGAAGGUGAAUUUCCCUUCAGGACUAUGGAACUUAUUCGCCUCUUAUCAUCCCUAUCUGAAGGAACUUGGCCAGCAGAAUGUGUGAGAAAAAUGUCUCUUUCUCCAUCAAUUGGAGGAGAAAAUGAUACUUAAUUUUGAAGGCUUUGUGUUGGGCAGCUGUAGAAUAUUUUGUGCUGAAAGUAGUAACUUUUCAAUAUGUUGAAUAUUUAAGACUACUUGAAUACUUAAAGAACAUUUUUUUGUUGAUGACAGUGUUGAAUGUUUUAAACUAAUUUGUGGAUUGUUAAUACAAUGUUGAAUGCUUUUACUUUUUGUUA